UCCGUCUCAAAAAAAAAAAAAAAAAAAGAUCUGGAAAAGUAAUGGUUUGUAGGAUCCUAGGUCAGCCCUUCUGUGUAGUAGGUCAUAUCAUCAUCAUGUACAGGAAAUGGACAUCAGAUGGCACAGACUGUGGGUAAUAAGUAGCUGAGUAUGGCCUGUUUGUGCCCUUCUUGGAGAGUUUAUCCUAGUUUCUGAGCUGAUCCAUGAAAUGGGAAUUUUUGUGUAUAGGGAAGUGGCACAAGGAAAGAUGCAUAUAAAUGACAGUGUUACAUAUGUAUCUAAGUGGACCUGAUCAAAAUUUGCAAGAGGCUGUUUCCAAUUAGGUUUAAGAUAUUUGCAUGUGCCUCAAGUUCACUCGCUUUUUUUUAUUAAGAUCACACUAGCUGUAGAAACAGAUAAUGGCUUAACCCAAUUUAUUUCUUGUUUUCAUUACAUACAUAAUGGAUAUUAAUUAUCAGUGAGUUUCUCUCCUCUAACUGGUGACUCAGGGACCCAGCCUCCUUCCAUAUUAUGGUUCUGCCAUUUUCAACACAUGAUUUAAUGUAUGCUCAUCUAUAAGAAGCCAGUGGAGGGAAAAAGGCCAUGGAAGAUACUGAGUGGAAGAUUUGCAAUUGUCCUUGAAGUUGUCUACAUUACUUCUGUUCAUAUUCCAUUGGCCAAAUCUAACUGCAGGGGAGGCUGGGACAUGUAGUCUAGCUGUGUGCCCAGAAUGAAGAGCAAAUGGGUUUAGUUCUCAGGGAGCAUUCCCAGGCACACCUUAUAAAGUGACGUAUGGGGCAGUAACUUUGAGUUCUUCUGAAUUUAGAAAAUUGCUUUUGAGCACGGCACAAUGAAAACUGAAAAUGCCAUUGGUAGCCUGCAGUUUAUUCUGUAGGAGUCUUUUUAAUUAACAGCUUAAUUGGAUAAUUUAAUCCCCGUUAGAAUUGGAGAUAUGCAAAUGAAAAUGAGAUACUCCCUAUGAUCUGACAAUACUGUGCUUUAAUAAACACACCAAAGUGAGCCUGGAAAUGAGCACCACAAAAGCAUUACCAUGAUUUGUGAUCAGUGAAAGAAAACCUGAUCUAUAAUUUUAAUCAUUCCUAAAUGGUUUAGAUACAUGUUUCAUUUGAAUGUGUAUUUUGUUUUGUUAAUUGGUUCAAUUAGAAAGGUAACUGAACAUAAGAAUCUGUGGCAAAGCCAUGAAUUUAUAAUAUGUUCUAAGCUUUUAAAAUAUAUACCAUUGAGAAAGUAACUAAAAUACCCUACAAAAUACUGUUGAAAGUGCAGUAUUUUCCAGUAUUUUCAGAUAAUUUAUAUACAAUAGUUUUUACUUCUCCAUUGAUUAUGAGAUGAAAAAUACUACUUACCAUAUUCUUGUUAUAUGCUUUCUCCACUUGAAUGAGAAAUUGAGGCUCAGAGUCCAAGAAAUGAAGAUGAGUGUCCAUGUACAAGCCACAAAAGUGCUGUUCUAAUUAAUUCUGGCCGGAGACUCCACUUUACAGAGAAAGAAAAACUGAGCUGCUGCAAGAACUCUUCUUCUCACUCUGUGUGAGAUGGGAAGCCACUGGAGAAUUUUGAGCAGAAAAGUGACAAGAUCCAACCUAUGAUUUCCAUGAUGACUCUGGCUGUGUUGAGAAUAGACCGUGGCUGAACAGGGGAAGAAGCAUGAAGACCAGUUAGGAAGUGGUUGCCAUCAUCCCAGCAAGAAAUGAUGGUGGCCGUGUCGAGGAGAGGAGCAGGGGAGGAAAUGAGUGAAUGAACGAUAAUAAAAUUUAAGAAAGAAACGCUCCAUCAUCCUGUUACUUUGAAAUUUCCGCCUAUUUCUUUUGUAUUUGUGUUUUUCCAUAGCCCCAUGUAUAAAUAUAUGGCAUAAUUUUUAUUCAGAGGAUAAUAUGAUUUUGAAUCUUUUUCAUCUAAUAGCAUCGGCCUGCGUCCAUAGGUGCUUCAAAAUCUUUUUUUUUUUUUUUUUGAGAUGGAGUCUCACUCUGUUGCCCAGGCUGGAUACAGUGGUGCGAUCUCGUCUCACUGCAACCUUCGCCUUCCGGGUUCAAGUGAUUCUCUUGCCUCACCCUCCUGAGUAGCUGGGAUUAUGGGCGCAAGCCACCACGCCCGGCUAAUUUUUGUAUUUUUAGUAGAGAUGGGGUUUCACCAUGUUGGCCAGGCUGGUCUGGAACUCCUGACCUCAAGUGAUCCACCCACCUGGGCCUCCCAAGGUGCUGGGAUUACAGGCAUGAGCCACCACACCUGGCAAAAUCUUCCAUUUUUAAUGGCAGAAUGAUAUUCUUUAGAGUUUCUGUGACAUAAUUUGUUCAAUUAUUUCUAUUUAGAAAUUUAUUAUUGAUUUCAUUUAUCACUAUUGUAAAUAAUAGAGAUUAAAAUCUUGAUAUGUAGAUUUAUUUUCUUUCCUAUAGGUUGUUUCCUUAAAAUAAAUACUUAAGAGUAAAUUUACUUCAUCAAAGGAUGCAGGUAUAUGCUGUUGUGGCUUUUGAAAUGCACUAACAAAUUGCGUUCUAACAAGGUUGUAUGCAUGCGGGUACCUACCGGUUUUACAAUAGAACUGGAUCAGAAGUAGGUCCUGCUCGUAAGAAAGUUACAAUAUAAUGUGGGAAGAAGAUGUGUAAACCAUCAGCUGUAAUAAAAAGCACAAUGAAGAACAGUGUAAGAAGGUACCACAUUUAGAAAAACCUUAUCAGCUUUAGGUGUUAUUAAUUUCAUUUUUAGUAACUUUUGCAUUCAUUAAAUAAGUAAGGCUGAAUGCAAUGGCUCACGCCUGUAAUCCCAGCACUUUGAGAGGCCGAGGCAGGUGGAUUGCUUGAUCCCAGGAGUUCAAGACCAGCCUGGGCAACAUGGUGAAACCCCAUCUCUACCAAAAAACAUACAAAUUAGCAGGGCAUAGAAUGUGCACCUGUAGUCCCAGCUACUGGAGAGGCUGAGGAGGGAGGAUUACUUGAGCCCGGGGGGUUGAGACUGCAGUGAGCCAUGAUUGCGCAACUGCACUCCAUCCUGAGUGACAGUGAGAACCUGAAGUAAGUAAGUAAAUAAGUAAAUAAAUAAAGCGUGACUGGUUGUUUAAUUUUACCAAUUUGCUUUUUUGUUUUUACCUCUCUUGAUAUAAAUUACCCACAUAUCAAGGCCCUUCACCCAUUAGGCUAUUAAGAUUUUGAUUUUUUCUCAUUCUCCUAAAAAGACACAUGCACACGUAUGUUUAUUGCAGCACUACUCGCAACAGCAAAGACUUGGAAGCAACCCAAAUGUCCAUCAGUGAUAGACUGGAUAAAGAAAAUGUGGCACAUAUACACCAUGGAACACUAUGCAGCCAUAAAAAGGAUGAAUUAAUGUCCUUUGCAGGGACAUGGAUGAAACUGGAAACCAUCAUUCUCAGCAAACUAACACAAGAACAGAAAAUCAAACGCCACAUGUUCUCACUCAUAGGUGGGAGGUGAACGAUGAGAACACAGGGGCACAGGCACAGGCAGG
rnacentral:lncRNA from 1 species